CAAUAGCGUAUAUUAAAGUUGUUGCAGUUAAAAAGCUCGUAGUUGGACCUUGGACCUGGACAGGCGGUCCGCCUCACGGCGAGUACUGUCUUGCUGGUCUUUCCUCUUGGUGAUCUGUUGUUUCGGCAGCAGGGAACCAGGACCUUUACUUUGAAAAAAUUAGAGUGUUCAAAGCAGGCUCGACGCCGGAAUAUAUUAGCAUGGAAUAAUAAAAUAGGACGUGCGGUUCUAUUUUGUUGGCUUUUGGAAUCGCCGUAAUGAUUAAUAGGGACAGUCGGGGGCAUUAGUACUCACAUGCUAGAGGUGAAAUUCUUGGAUUUUGUGAAGACUAACUUCUGCGAAAGCAUUUGCCAAGGAUGUUUNCAUUA
rnacentral:rRNA from 1 species